rnacentral:rRNA from 1 species
UAGGGAAGUCUUCCACAAUGGGCGAAAGCCUGAUGGAGCAACGCCGCGUGUGUGAUGAAGGGUUUUGGCUCGUAAAACACUGUUGUAAGAGAAGAAUGACAUUGAGAGUAACUGUUCAAUGUGUGACGGUAUCUUACCAGAAAGGAACGGCUAAAUACGUGCCAA